GUUGCCCUGAUCCAGGGCCAUUUUCGGAUCUGAUCGAUGUCAAUGUUCCACCAUUUCCUGUGAGGAGCUUUGGGAGGCUCAGUCAGUGCCCGGCGCUAGAGAAAUAACGAGUCAGAGAAAUGGGAAGGUGUGGCUGCAGAAUGUAGGGAGGGGAGGAACCUGCCAGCGUAAGCACCAGUUCUCUUUGUCCUGAGCAGUUCCAACAUCAAGGCUCAGCUGCUGUAGUCCAACUCCCGCUACAUUGACAACAC